rnacentral:rRNA from 1 species
CCUACGGGAGGCAGCAGUGGGGAAUAUUGCGCAAUGGGCGAAAGCCUGACGCAGCGACGCCGCGUGAGGGAUGAAGGUCUUCGGAUUGUAAACCUCUUUCUGCAGGGAAGAACGGUCUCCGUGCUAUUCAGUAGUUAAUUGACGGUACCUGCAAAGGAAGCACCGGCUCACUCCGUGCCAGCAGCCGCGGUAAUACGGUGGGUGCGAGCGUUAAUCGGAAUUACUGGGCGUAAAGCGCACGCAGGCGGUAUGUGAAGUCAAGGGUGAAAUCCCCGCGCUCAACGUGGGAACUGCAUUUGAUACUGGCAAGCUGGAGUGUGUGAGAGGAUGGUGGAAGUCCAGGUGUAGCGGUGAAAUGCGUAGAUAUCUGGAGGAACACCGGUGGCGAAGGCAGCAUGCUGGCA